CCGGACAAUUUACGGUAUCUGUCGCUGACUCGUCUGCGGGUCAGUUGGAUCAAAGUUCCAGUGCCUACGACUCAUCUAAGUCCAGUGGAACUAUCGCACUAGGCAACAUCGGUCUGCACGGUUUAUUCCAAACCUCCAGUCAUGGUAAAAAGUCUAGCUCUAGCUCAAGUUAUUCGACAUCUGGAAGUUCAUCACAAUCAUCGAGCUUCCAUAGCGGUCCAUACAACAUCGCACUUCUUGCUUCUGGUGAUAUUAGCCAUCAGGACGCUACGAGACCCGGCGUUUUGACUUCGUAUGGAGGAAGUCAAGUCCAACAAUCUAUU
rnacentral:misc_RNA from 1 species